GGGUGUGAGGGAUCUGGCUGUGAGAUCUGUCACCCCACUGAUCGCCAGAGUUGACGCUGCUGCUCUGGCUGGCUGGGCGGGGUCCCCUUCCUCCCUCAGGGUGCCAUGUGCGUCCCUGCAGAAGCUGCGCCAGGAAGAGGAGGCCAUCCCCAUAGAGGAGGACCGUUUCCUGUGGGGGGUAUAGAGCAACCGUGCCCCCUGCCCACCACCUACAAACAAGUCUCCAGAGUGGAGAAUUGAGGCUUCGAAUUCAUGAGAAAAUUCAUCAAUUUCCCAAAUUCCCAAUGUGCCUGAGGAUUUUG
ensembl:misc_RNA 7SK 7SK RNA